rnacentral:rRNA from 1 species
GACGAACGCUGGCGGCGUGCUUAACACAUGCAAGUCGAACGGAAAGGCCCUGCUUUUGUGGCGUGCUCGAGUGGAGCACGGGUGAGUAACCCGUGGGUAACCUGCCCUUGACUUUGGGAUACCUCCAGGAAACUGGGGCUAAUACCGGAUAGGAGCUCAUGCUGCAUGGUGGGGGCUGGAAAGUUUCGGCGGUUGGGGAUGGACUGGCGGCUUAUAAGCUUGUUGGUGGGGUAGGGGCUUACCAAGGCAUUGACGGGUAGCCGGCCGGCGCGGGGGACAGGCCGCAAUGGUACGGAGGUGCGGCCCAGACGCCUACGGGGGGCAGCAGUGGGGAAGAUUGCACAAUGGUCGGAGGCCGGAUGCAGCAGCGCCGCGGGGGGGAUGACGGCCGUCGGGUUGUAAACCGCUGUCGCCUGUGACGAAGCGGGAGUGACGGUAAUUGGUAAAGAAGCACCGGCUAACUACGUG